rnacentral:rRNA from 1 species
CCUGAACGCUGGCGGCGUGGCUAAGACAUGCAAGUCGCGACGGGGUAGCAAUACCCAGUGGCGAACGGGAGAGUAAUGAAUCGCUAACGUACCCCGGACUCUGGGAUAGCUACCCGAAAGGGUAGGUAAUACCAGAUAAUACGACCUUGUCGCAUGGCAGGGUUUUCAAAGGUCCGCCGGUCGUGGGAGCGGGCGAUUUCGUAUCAGCUAGUUGGUGGGGUAAUGGCUCACCAAGGCGACGACGCGUAGCCGGACUGAGAGGUUGGCCGGCCUCAUUGGGACUGAGACACUGCCCAGACUCCGUACGGGGGCUGCAGUACGAAUCUCCGCAAUGCACGAAAGUGUGACGGAGCG